UUUUCAACUCUUCAAGAAAUACAUUGUACUGGUAAAUUGUUUCUUCUUUCAAUUUUCAUUAGAACAAUAAUCUUUUCACAAAAAAGAAAAUAGACCCACAAAUUCCUAAAAGAAAAACCACAGACCCACAAAAUUCUUGAGAAACAAUUUUAACCCAGAUUGUUGUUCAAAGGAACAAUGGAGAAAAUAAAUAUAUUAUUCGUUUACAAAUCAGAUCCAUGGAAUAAUUGUAUCACAUCUGAUUUUGAUCAAUAGGUGACGAGUUCAAUACUCAUCGGAUCUAUACAUAACAUGAUUCUCAUCCACUUAUUUGUCUUAAAGGUAAGAAUAAAUUCUAUUUUGGAUAUUGGCGGAUUUUCUAUUCUCUAGAUCCAAAUUAUCUUUUCCCCAUAAGAAAAAAUUAUAAAAAAAAAACACUUAAGAACUUUUUAUUUCAAGAAAUAACAUCUCACACAUGGAACAACUAAUGUCGCUCUGAUACCAGUGUAAUAAUUAAUAGCAAGAGGAAUACGAUUGUGUAUCUUUAACCAUAGAGGAAAACUAAUCAAUGAUAUAUUUUUUGAGGAUUUGAUCCGAUGGGGACUUUGAAUCUCAAGAAAAGAAAGUGCAACGGCACGAACUAAGUAACCUCUUGGAUUGUUUGAGGUCAAUGUUAAAAAAUAAAUGGUCUAUCAUUUUUUUUAAUGAUAUUUCUCUCUUUUUUCAAGUGUAAAGAAUUAUUUUAAAUGGACUGCAUGUUACUGUUAAAGAAUGUAAAUGUUCCCACUCUUUUAAAAAUAAUAUUUAGCUUCUUUUACAUAAACUAUAUUGGGUCAGGUGGGAUCCACAUGAGAAACCCAUUGUUUUAUUACGUUUUCGGAAAAUAUUAUUUUUGUGAGAGUUUUAUAUGUUUUUGACUUUUUAGAGUCGCCACUUAACACAAAUUAGACAAAGAAGAAAAAGGAUGAUUCUUCUAAAAUAAGAAACUUUGGUCAACUCAUUGUACAAUACUAAAGAAUAACACUUACAACUUCCACACAUCAUACAACACUAAAAAAAAAAGCUCAAAGUGAUGUUCAACUAAACCUCUAAAACGCAGAGAUUGAAGCAAAAGUUCAACAACCCAGAAGGAUUCAAGAAGACUGCUAAUAGAGAACACAUAUUAAAAUAAACCUUAUGUCAUUUCAAAAAUAACACAAAGACAUCUUAAUGAGAAGAAAUUAUUCGAGAGGUCGAAGCGGAUCUACAAGGUAGAGAAGAGAGGAAUCUAUAAGCGAAAUAAAGGCGAUAUUCUCACCUCUUCCGGGACAGCGAAGAAGACAGGAACGAGCAGAUAAGCAUCGUCUUCACCACCACCAAAAUGUAACUCGAAAAGAUCUGUACAAACUAGUCGUGCUAAACUUGGAAGGGUCUGUUGUUACUGCGUCAUGUUUGGAUUACCUCACAGCUCUCACUUCGUUGAAGUCGCUAAAUGUCAAUAGAUCUCACCUUUUAGAUGAUGGAUGUGAGAAGUUUUUGGGUAAGUGGAAGACAUUUGUUAUCUGCCAAAAAGAACUGACUAAAGCAAAACCAUUCCACAUUGUUAGCCAACCGUUUUAUAUCUGCAGCACUCAGCAGUUUGAAAGAGUUAAAUCUGGGAUUUAACAAUAUCAUGGAUACAUGAAUUUGUUGUGUAUCAUAAUAUUUUAUAUGUAUCAUGAAGUUUUGAAAAUUGUUAUAAUGUAUCAUUCAAUAAGUUUAGUAAAUGCGUCAUCAACUGUGCUUGAUGAUACAUAUAGAAUCAGUGUGUACAGUGUUUAGUCAAUGCAUUGAUACAUGUAGUAGAUAUGUAUCACAUGUUUUGCAUGUAGUAUGAAUUCCUGAAAACUGAUAUCAUGUAUCAGUAAGGUAUUAGUUGUUUAGUUGAUGUACUGAUACAUGUUUUGA